AGUUGGUUCAAAGGUUGUGGGUUCUUGUUAAGUUGACUGACAUUGUCUCCUCCAAAAACCACCCUUGACUAGUUCUAA
ensembl:misc_RNA Y_RNA Y RNA